rnacentral:lncRNA from 1 species
CCACUAGUAACACAUAUCUAACCCUACCUCAUCUGUACCACACUCAUAAUACCCUCAUCAAUCCCACCAUCACAAAAAUCCAAUACAACAAUAUAUACAACCUCCUCCUACUCCCCAACUUCACUCGGGACCAAUAUCAUGGCUGAUAAUUUCGUAAUACUAAUUACAUCAACAAUAAUCUAGUUACAUCAAAUAACUUACUCUUUUAUAGCACACUAGAUUCAAAAUUACUUAUCAAAUGGAAUCAUGCGAAAAAAAAUGAAAUAUCCUCAAAAUACCCUAGUUUUCAAGCAUCGAGUAACUACUAACUCUGUCUACCCGAUUCUUUUGGCCAAAACUAAUGAGUUUUCUCAAUUUGGAAAUCCCACGAUAUGAAGAUGGAGAAAUAAUAGAGAAAUCAUGAAAUAUAUUACUCAGAAAGAGCACACUUUGCGGUUAUUGAAGCUAUAAUCAUAUGUAUAAAGAGAGGAAAAAGGAAAUAAUGCUGC